GGGCUUGUGGUUCAUCGGCAGAACGUCUCGUUCACGUCGAGAAGGUACAAGGUUCAAUUCCUUGCAGGCCCA
rnacentral:tRNA from 1 species